UGAAACUUAGUAACUGAGUAGAGAUGC
rnacentral:piRNA from 1 species